rnacentral:rRNA from 1 species
GGGUCAGUAGGUUGGUCGUGCCACCGGUACGUACUGGUCUCACUGAUUCCUCCUUCCUGAAGAACCGUAAUGCCAUUAAUUUGGUGUUGCGGGGAAACAGGACUGUUACUUUGAAAAGAUUAGAGUGUUUAAAGCUAGCUAACGCUUGAAUACAUUAGCAUGGAAUAAUGAAAUAGGACGAUCGAUCCUAUUUUGUUGGUUUCUAGGAUUGACGUA